GACGAACGCUGGCGGCGUGCUUAACACAUGCAAGUCGAACGGAAAGGCCCCGCUUUGUUGGGGUGCUCGAGUGGCGAACUGGUGAGUAACACGUGGGUAAUCUGCCCUUGACUUUGUGAUAAGCUCAGGAAACUGGGUCUAAUACCGGCUAGGAUCUCUCGCCUCAUGGUGUGCGGUGGAAAGUUUCGCCGGUUGGGGAUGGGCUCGCGGCUUAUCACUUUGUUGGUGGGGUAGUGGCUUACCAAGGCCUGGCCGGGUAGCCGGCCUGAGAGGGUCCGCGGCCACAUUGGGACUGAGAUACGGCCCAGACUCCUACGGGAGGCAGCAGUGGGGAAUAGUGCACAAUGGGCGGAAGCCUGAUGCAGCGACGCCGCGUGGGGGAUGACGGCCAUCGUGUUGUAAACCGCUUUCAGUUGAGACGAAGCGCUAGUGACGGUACCGGGAGAAGAAGCACCGGCUAACUACGUG
rnacentral:rRNA from 1 species